rnacentral:tmRNA from 1 species
CCCCUUUUCAUCGGCUGACCGGCACCCUAUAUUAGGCAUGCUGCGAAAGCAGCUAUGACAAUAAACGAGCGCUGCAAUAAACCAUUCGGACCCGGGGGCGGUACCCGGCGCCUCCACCAUGAUCCGGCCUGUUGCCGGCAAGCGGCCCUAGCGGCCGGAUGAUGAUGGGGGCGAAACAGGAUCGACGAGGGUGUAAAGAGCGACUUUUUGUUCGGCAUUGUACCACCGUUAUCGGGCUAAACUUGUAGUUGCAAACGACAACUAUGCGGAAGCUCGUCUCGCUGCCUAAUGGCGGUGUGACACUUCAAAUUAAGUCCUAGAGGGUCGCACUUCUAGGCGGGGUUCGGAGGUACCUGGCAACAGAAACCUCCACU